GGAGUGAUUGGCAAUCAGGAGUUGUAGAUGGUAUUUUCAGAAAAAAGGUAGCAUUUGAGAUGGGCCUUGAGGCAAGGGUAUAAUUUGGUCAUGGACAAAUGGAGAGGAAGUCAGUCUUAAGUUGAAGAUGGUGUGUGUGAACAAAAGAUGUGGUGUGAACCAAAGAGUGGCUAAUGGAUUAGAAUGACUCGAGAUUGUCUGGAAGUGGAAGAGUGGUUGCCUGCUGGAGUUGACUGAAUGUACACGUCACUUCCUCAUUCUCCCAGCAAACUCCUCAUGACCUUGACCGCACCCAUGUUUGUGCCUUCCUGUCCUCGUGUCUACAUCUGGAAAACUUGGUGCCUGGGACCUAACAUCAUCUGUUUGCUGAAGCCUCCUCCGACUGCUCCAGCAGGGCUCACCUCCUCACGUGGGUUUCUGUGCCACCUUGGCUUACUACAUCUUUAUAAUUAUAUUUAAAUUUGUGUAAUGAUGAUCUGUCAGACUAAGAGGGAAGGGAUUACUGUCUUAUCCGUCACGGACACUUCAUUGCCUGGCUGAAUGCUCUGUGUUUGUUAAUGGUUAAAAUAGAAAGGAUCUUAGAUCUUAAAGAGUCUCUCCUAGUUUAAUUCCUCUUAAAUUCAUUUAUUUACUCAUUCAUUCAUUCGCUCUUUGUGCAAACAUUUACUGAGUACCUACUAUGUGGGAACUCCCUCUGUCUCUCCAGGCAACAAAGCCUUGAUUAAACAGACAUAAAAGAGAAACAGCUGCCAGUCCUUCCUCCAGGAAGCUCUGCUCCACAGGCCUUCACUUAAGAAUCCUGGAGCUUCAGUUUCCUUUCGUCAGCUUUUUCCUUAAUGGCCAAACUCAUGGUGGC
rnacentral:lncRNA from 12 species